GAUCCCUGUCCCCCCUCCCCCCGUUGUGAUAUUUCUCUCUGAUUCGCCUUCCCUUUCCCUCCCUCCCAAUAUUAAAGGAAAAGGGCUUUUCCCAGUGACUGGCUGCGGCUGCUUACCCGGCUCCCUUCUCCCGCAGCGUUUCACAGUGCGCAUGGUAUCAAUGGGGACGGAUUUCAAUGGCGGGUGUGUUUGGCCCUGCCUUGAGGGAGGGGAGAUGUGAAGAGUGGCGAAGGCGCUGGCUGAGGGUUGGUGUGAGUCGGGGUAUAGCUGGAGGGGAGGAUUGGGGAUGCAGGAAGAGCAGGCUCAAUGGCUUGGUGGGGAGCGAGGAGCUGCAAGGCUGUUUGUCAGGCUUGGGCAGAUGGACUCGGUAAACUUCAGAGAACUGUGGAAACCUCUCAUUGAAAUGCACGCAGCAGACACCCCAGAGCGAGAGUGACUGUAAACACUGCCUUAAACAGCAGCUCCGAGAGCCAGCCUGCUCUCCUCCCCAGAGCAUGUGUGGGGGCUGGCAGCAGCAGGGCCAGAGGUCGGUUACGUUUUGCUGAUCCAGCUAAGAACGUGUGCUGAACUUCUUCAUCGUGGAAUCAGAGCCUAGAACUUGUGUAGCUAGAAAGUUUUGACUUGCCUAGUUCCUUCUCAUUUGGAGGGAGCCUCCUUCCUUGUGUCCCUAUGGGUGCCCCACUGUAGGUGUGUCUGCAUCCCUGGGCUGCUGAUCGGAGAACUUCGGUAGCAAUAUCCAUUGGGCCCGCACAUGUGCUGUCUCUCCUCGUGCUAUGCCACUAGGUUAGCCAGCACACACAAGCUAACCAUCCUCAGUUCCUUCUCAACCACCCUUGCUAGAGAUGGAGCCUUUAGCUGUCCGGUUGCGGAUCAUCAAUAAUAAUAUAACCAGCGGUACGUCUCCUGUAAGACUGUUACCUGGGUCACUAGAGUUAUCACAAGAAUUGCAGGCCUCACAUCUAGGCCAUUCAAAUUAUGACUUUGGAGGGGCACAUUCUGCUCAGUUUACACCAAUGUAAAUGUGGAGUAACCACUGAAAUCAAGUUUUACUUUGAUAUAACUGAAAGCAGAAUUUGGCUUAUAAAGGUGGCUUGCUAUAUGAGUGUUUCUCAACUAGUGGAUUGUUGACCCCAAGGGAGGUUACAAAAGGCAACCAAGGUGGUCAUGAGGUGUUGAAAAAUUUAUUACAAUCUAAAGCAAAGAAAAAGUCCCUCCCCCACUUCCUGCCCACCCUUACCCUUCAAAGUCAAAUAUUCUUUGCUGACUUCUCGAGACACACACUCUCUCUCUCUCUGUAGGCUUAUCGUUGUUAGCACUGAUACUUUUGUUUUACUUUUAAUUUUAUAUUAAAUGUAAGGCAAGGCAUGAAAAAUUUUGACUUUGAAUAAGGGGUUGUGAACCUGGAAAGGUUAAGAGACACUGCGCUCUACCAUAGUUACAAUUUCAACCAGGGUCCAUUACAUGCUGCUUCUUUUUUUUACCCCUGCUCUA